rnacentral:misc_RNA from 1 species
UCCGAGUUGUCCCCGGCAGUCCCCUUAGAGUCCCCGGCAUUACCCGCUGGCAACUAAGGGCAGGGGUUGCGCUCGUUGCGGCACUUAAGCCAACACCUCACGGCACGAGCUGACGACAGCCAUGCAGCACCUGUGCUAGCCCCCGAAGGACACGGGCUUUCACCCGCUUUAACUAGCAUGUCAAGCCUAGGUAAGGUGGGGAUGACGUUAGGAUAG